GCCGACGCAGCACGAUGGCCGUGCAGCCGUUUCGUGAGCGGCCGGUCCAGGUUCGACUCCUGGCGUCGGCUC
rnacentral:tRNA from 1 species